rnacentral:rRNA from 1 species
UACGGAGGGUGCAAGCGUUGCUCGGAAUUAUUGGGCGUAAAGGGUAGGUAGGUGGUCUUAUUUGUGUGGGGUGAAAGCCUUGGGCUUAACUCAAGAAGUGCCCCGCAAACGGUAAGACUGGAGUCUUGGAGAGGCUAGCGGAAUUCCCGGUGUAGCGGUGAAAUGCGUAGAGAUCCGGAGGAACCCCAGAGGCGAAGGCGACGCCCUGGCUCGUACCUGACGCUCAGCCACGAAAGCAUGGGGAGCGAACGGG